rnacentral:pre_miRNA from 1 species
AUUCGUUGGAUGAAUGUGAGGCAUUGGAUUGAUUUUGUUCAAUCCGAGCCCCACAUUCAUUAAGAGUUCGU